GCCGGGUUGGUGGAACUGGCAGACACAACGGAUUCAAAAUCCGCCGCCUUUGGCGUAUGGGUUCAAAUCCCAUACCCGGCA
rnacentral:tRNA from 1 species